rnacentral:lncRNA from 1 species
UUGAUGGUGAUGGGCAGAUCAACUACGAGGAGUUCGUCAAAGUCAUGAUGGCCAAGUAAAGGACCUCUCCAACUAUAACCAGGAUUAAAAAAUGGGGUUUAAAAAAAAAGGAAGAAAGUAACAGGGCAGAUAAGUUUGCUAAAAUAUCUAUUAAUGAAUAGGACAUCAAUGUUUUUAAGUUACAAGCUUUUGUUGGAUGGUUCUUUGUUUCAUGUUUGCAUUUUUUUGUGGACCGGACCUUAGUAUUAUGCUUGUUUGCUCUGCUUUUUUGUUCAGUAGUGCUGGGUUGUUAGCGUCAAUAUUUUUAUGCUUU